CGCGUAGGUGGUAGUGCAAGUCUGGGGUGGAAUCUUAGGGCUUAACCCUAAAACUGCCUUGGAAACUGCAUUACUUGAGUCAGUGAGGGGAGGGUAGAAUUCCUGGUGUAGCGGUGAAAUGCGUAGAUAUCAGGAGGAGGGCCUGUGGCGAAGGCGGCCCUCUGGCGCUGAACUGACACUGAGGCGCGAAAGCGUGGGUAGCAAACAGGAUUAGAUACCCUGGUAGUCCACGCCCUAAACGGUGGGUACUAGGUGUAGGGCUCGUAAGGGUUCUGUGCCGAAGGGAAACCAUUAAGUACCCCGCCUGGGGAGUACGGCCGCAAGGUUGAA
rnacentral:rRNA from 1 species